GAUGAACGCUGGCGGCGUGCCUAAUACAUGCAAGUCGAGCGAACGGACGAGAAGCUUUCUUCUCUGAUGUUAGCGGCGGACGGGUGAGUAACACGUGGAUAACCUACCUAUAAGACUGGGAUAACUUCGGGAAACCGGAGCUAAUACCGGAUAAUAUUUUGAACCGCAUGGUUCAAAAGUGAAAGACGGUCUUGCUGUCACUUAUAGAUGGAUCCGCGCUGCAUUAGCUAGUUGGUAAGGUAACGGCUUACCAAGGCAACGAUGCAUAGCCGACCUGAGAGGGUGAUCGGCCACACUGGAACUGAGACACGGUCCAGACUCCUACGGGAGGCAGCAGUAGGGAAUCUUCCGCAAUGGGCGAAAGCCUGACGGAGCAACGCCGCGUGAGUGAUGAAGGUCUUCGGAUCGUAAAACUCUGUUAUUAGGGAAGAACAUAUGUGUAAGUAACUGUGCACAUCUUGACGGUACCUAAUCAGAAAGCCACGGCUAACUUCGUG
rnacentral:rRNA from 1 species